UACGUAGGGCGCAAGCGUUGUCCGGAAUUAUUGGGCGUAAAGAGCUCGUAGGCGGCUUGUCACGUCGGGUGUGAAAGCCCGGGGCUUAACCCCGGGUCUGCAUUCGAUACGGGCAGGCUAGAGUGUGGUAGGGGAGAUCGGAAUUCCUGGUGUAGCGGUGAAAUGCGCAGAUAUCAGGAGGAACACCGGUGGCGAAGGCGGUUCUCUGGGCAUUACCUGACGCUGAGGAGCGAAAGUGUGGGGAGCGAACAGG
rnacentral:rRNA from 1 species